ensembl:lncRNA
CAAGAAUAUAUGAAGACUUUCUGAAAGCAUUAAAUAUGGACAAGGCUACUCUUUGCUGAUUUAAAUAGCUCUCUGAAGACCUUAGGACAUCAGUUCUUGCCAUGGCAACACUGGUGAAAACUGUAUAUUGGCUCCAUGAAGGGGAGCAUCUUCUUCACCAACACUGGGGCCUCUGUUCUGUUAGCAUUGUGCUCUAGAGAAGAGGAACUUCUGGUUUGAGCUAGCAGCUGGAUGUCAGCUGUUGCUUGUGUCAGCUGACUCUUUUGAGAAGCAACUCAGAGAAAGGAAAGAAAAGGAAGUACCUUUCUCCCAGGCACAUGGUUGCGACUCUUUGUGACCCCAUGGACUGAAAUCUGCUAAGCUACUCCAUCCAUGAGAUUUCCCAGGCACAAGUAAUGGAGUGGCUUCCCAUUUCCUCUUCCAGAGAAUAUUCCUGCCCCAGAGGUGGAAACUGUAUCUCCUGCAUUGCAGGAAUAUGACUGAGUGACCCAAUUAUCAAGAGUGGAGCUGAGGAGAGAGAAUCAGGCCUGUCCUGAUGUAAGCGCUGGGAGCUUCCAUUCCCAACUCUAGGGAAAGUAGACCAAAGACAACGUCAUGGAAAGACACAGUUUCUUCAGUGGCAAUUUACAUUAAGGAAGAUAACAUGCUCUCUGCUGCUAACAAAAAUCAAGAAAGGCAUCAGACUCUUAAUUCGCAACUAGGAAAAUGAAAGCUCAGCCCAAAAGCAACUGCAUCAGCUCCUGAUGCCUCAUUAAUAAAGAAGGAAUCAUGACAAAUAUACACUCAGAACCUAUAUCAACUGACAGUAAAUUAGAAUGAGCAUUGAUGAGCACCACCUCCAGUUGAAUGACAAAAUCCCC